rnacentral:misc_RNA from 1 species
AGGGCUUAAUGAGCCUUUUGGUAUAACGAAAGACGAAGCAAAAUCUAUCUUAAAGGAAUAUGGGCAAGCUCUUCUUAAUACUCUUGAGUCUAUGAAUCCACACCGUCAUGGAGCAAUGGUAAAGUUGGCAGAAGCUACUUUUAAAACCUUACAGAAUCUGUCCAUUGAAUGUGGCCCCUUUGGAGAGAAGGUGAAGGAAUAUAUUCACAAUAUGUCAAGGCUUGAGUCAAUUGAAGGGUCCCUGUGCAAAGGCCUCUCAUCUCAUGAACUAAUCAAGCUUUUGGACAGUGAGAAAGUUCAGUUUGAUAAUGUUUCACGACUCCAUGCUGAGGCAGUGACUGCUUACAGUGCUUCCAAUAAUCAUCUUCAGUCACUUAAGGAAGAAAUAUCACUUGUCAAGGCCAUGCUUCUUCAACUUGAGAAACAACUGUCUUCUUGUGAAGCAGAGACAUUGGUCCUCAAAACACAUGUUGAUGAAGUUUCUAAGGAAAUGUUGGAGUCAAAGAGCAGUAUGGAGGCUGCAUAUGAUAAGUUGGCAGAAGCCUUAGAACUGGAACGCCAGAGAGACUCGGUGCGUGGUGCUGCGAAGGUGGCAUUGGAGACUGCAAGGGUUUGGCUGGAACAAUGAUAUAUUAAAACUCAGUGUGGAUGUAGAAUCAGACUAUCUGUAGUUAAUUUGUAAAAUAAGUGCGU